UUUUCUCCAUAAUUCACUAUAUAUAAACGACCCUAACCAUCUCUUUCUCUCACCCUAUUUGCCGCGUCAAAAUUGUAUCAUCACCAAUCCUAAUUUUCAGUUCGUUUUUUCUCAUCGUUUCGAUCUCGAUUUCGUUGAAUCGUUAUCGAUUCGAGACCUUCGAAAUUGAGAUUUGACGCAGACACAUACUCAUUCAAUCUGGUUAUCUGAUCAUGAAUCCAAUAAGGUCUCGCCGUCGUGGUGGAUCUAGUGAUGAUCGUGGAUUUGAUGCAAAAUCUGUGUUGAAUCAGAUCGAUUAACACAAAAUUAGUUCAAUAUUUUUAGUUUAUGAUAAUAAUCCUAUAUGAUGAUGUUGUUAUAUUUUGUAUCGGUUUUGAAUUUCGAUCGGCUAGAUCGGAAUUUUUGGUUGCUAGAGAGAGAUAGAUGUGAUGUGAAAGGUACUCUGUUCAGUUUGUGUGAAUUUUGUUAAUGGAUCUUUGCCAUGUCAGGUGCGCUUGCAUGGCAGAUCCGAAAAAGCUUAAUAAAAUAACAGUUAUUUUGUUUUGAGAGGGAGAGAGAUUGGUUUGGGGUCUUUUUUUUAUUUGCCCCGCCACUUUCUCCCUCUGUUGUGGGUGUGUCUUGCCUUUUCUCCUUUUUGCUUUUCUUUUCUGUUUUUUUUACCAGCUGCGCAUAUUAGGAUUCUAAUUAACAAUCUAUUGUUCUACGAAACCUAAUUCAACCGAUGGUGUUAAAUAGAAGCUAUAACGGGUCGUAGCACUAUGACGAAACAAAAUUUGAACAAAUAGCUAUUGUUUUGUGAGAAUAUGCUAUUUAGUAUAAAAUAUUGUCAAAUAGUAGUUGCUAUGGCGGCGUUAUAAUUGGACAACUAUUUUCUGUGACAUGCGAUUGAUAACAUUGAAUUCAACAAGCAAUUGGCUAUUGGCACGACAAUGCAAUGAUAACAAGGUAAACAGUUAUGUUUUUGUUAGAAUUGAACACUUUAUAAUCUCUUUUAUACUUACUAUAGGUUAUAAUAACUCACAUGUCUUGAACUCAUAGCAUGCCCAAUAUUGUAUAAAUUGAAGGCUAUGCCUGCAAUUAAACUCCACAAUAUGCUUUAAUCAAAUUUAGUUAAGAAUUAAGAUAGAGAUGUGCAAUAUUUUCGUCCACGGCUUAUUUUAUUAAUUACAUCUUUAUGUCAUCUUUAAUUCAAUGUUCUGCAUUUAGACUAGUCUAAAUUAAAUUUAAAUAUCAUACAUACUAGUAAUACCUAUCUGUUACCACUCAAAACUUUGAAUUUGUACAUUAACUAAGUCGGAGAGGCAUCAAAAUUAUCUGGCUGAGAGGAACUUAACUUAUUUAGUGAAUACAGUAAAUAAAAACGCAUAUGCAUAUGUUUGUUACUCAUGAACACUCGUACACACUUGUACUAUGAUACAUAUUAUCUAUAGCUCUUAAGCUACAAAGUUUAUUUAAUUUUCCCAGUAAUUGUAUCUAUAUGGUGGUGAAUGUGUCUGACAUCCAUAUUUGUUCAAUACUAUGACUGUUGAUAUCAAGUGACUGUAUGAAACUGAUGGGUGUUUUGCCCCUGAAUUAUAAGCUCUUAGUGGGGUUUCUAAUAGGUUUUCUUGGCAUGUGUGGGAUUUGUUGUACGAACUGUUACAGUAAUAAGCUUCCAAGAAGCUUACUAGCUGGUGAGUGCAGAUUGCAGUAAAACACUGUACGUGUAACAUUGAGGCUCAUGGUGUAUUUGUAAUGUUGUUGUCAAGUAUUAUACUCUUUUCAAACAUUGUGCGACCUGGAAUACAUCUUGUAAGGAGAAAUCUGAAGACCUGAUUGUUGCUAGAGGAUUAAGGUUCCCGAGGACUGAUUUGUUCAAACUGUCUUGAAGUUUUGUGAAGCUGGGAAGAUUUGGAGGUAUAUGUUUUCAUCCCUUGCGAAUUUCAAUCGGCAAGAUCAGAAGUUUUGGUUGCUGAGAGAUACAUGUAAUAUGAGUGUAAAGUAUAUACACUACAACAUAAGGUACUUGUUCUGUUGUUAACGGAUCUUUGCCAUGUCAGGUGCGCUUGCAUGGCAGAUCCAAACAAUCUUAAUAAAAUUACAGUUAUUUUGUGUUGAGAGGGGAGAGAUAGGUUUGUGGACAUUUUAUUUUAUUUCUUUGUCCCGCCUCUCUCUCCCCCUCUGUUGUGUGUGCCUUGUGUCUUCUCCUCUUUCUUCUAGCUUUUUUUUUUUUUUGCUUUUCUUUUUAAUUCUGUUACUUUGCUUCAGUCUAUUGUGCCCCACACAUAUUUGGAUUGUUCUAUUUAACAAUCUACCGUCACGAAACCUAAUUCAACAAGCAAUUUGCAACUGGUUGAGUUAUGUGGUGCAAUAUCCAAGUACGUUUUUGUUCUAUUGCUAGACUUGAGCAUUUAACAAUCUCUUUUUUACUUAUAAUAAUUAACAUGUCUCGAAUUCAUGCCAUUAUUAUAUGGUUUAUUGAUUAAAAUCAAAGGCUAUGGCUGUUAAUCAAUUUAUUCAAGACAAAUGUGUGUGUGUGUGUGUAUCUUUGUUCACUCACGAGCACUCUUACAAACUUGGGACCGUGACACAUAUCUCUAGUUCUUGAGCUGCAAAGUUUAUAAUUUUCCCAGUAUAUGAUAUCCAUAUUUGUUCAAUACCAUAACUGUAGACAUGAAAUGGCUGUUGAAACUGGUUGGUGUUUUGCUGUUGUAAAUUGUAAUAUAAGCUGCUAGUUGGACUUGUAAUUGGGUUUUGUUGGCAUGUGUGGGAUUUUGUUGUAUGAACUACUUAAAUUGGCCGUCAAGGAAUAAUGUUCUUGGUGUAGUUUCCACUAUUGAUGUCAAGAGAAAUCUGAAGACCAGAUUGCUGCUAGAGGAUUAAUGUUUCAGGACUAGUUUGCUCAAAUUGUCCUAAAUUUUUGUGAAGCAGGGAAAAUCAUUUGAUUCUUUUGUUGGAGAUUUUAUUGGAGUUUUAUAUUUUGUAUCCCUUGCAAACUUCAAUUGGCAAGAUCAGAAGUUUUGGUUGUGAGAGAUACAUGUAAUAUAAUAUGAGUGUCAUGUAUAUACAACAACAGAAGGUACUUGUUCCGUUUUUGUAGUAUUUGUUAAUGGAUCUUUGCCAUGUCAGGUGCGCUUGCAUGGCAGGUCCUAAAAUCUUAAUAAAAUUACAGUUAUUUUGUUUUGAGAGGGGAGAGCUAGGUUUGGGGACAUUAUCUUUUAUUUAUUUGCCCCGCCUCUCCCCCUCUGCUGUGUCUGUCUUGUUGUCUUCUCCUUUUUCUUUACUCCGUUAUGCGCCACACUCAAACGUUUUGGUUGUGAGAGAUACAUGUAAUAUAAUAUGAGUGUCAUGUAUAUACAACAACAGAAGGUACUUGUUCCGUUUUUGUAGUAUUUGUUAAUGGAUCUUUGCCAUGUUAGGUGCGCUUGCAUGGCAGGUCCGCAAAUCGUAAUAAAAUUACAGUUAUUUUGUUUUGAGAGGGGAGAGCUAGGUUUGGGGACAUUAUCUUUUAUUUAUUUGCCCCGCCUCUCCCCCUCUGUUGUGUCUUUCUUGUUGUCUUCUUUUUCUUUACUCUUUUAUGCGCCACACAUAUUAGGAUUAUAAUUUACACUAUCCUCGUUACGAAACCUAUUUCUGCAAAGCAAUUAUCGACACUUUGAUGUAUACAAAGCAAUUAAUAACACUUUGAUGUAUACAAUGCAAUAACAAGGUACAUGGUUAUGUUGUUAUAAUAUUAUUACUAGACUAGAAUUGAACAUUUUAUAGUCUCUUUUAUACUUAUAGUUGUAUAGUCUCUUAUACUUGUAGUAACUCAUUCCUGAAUUCAUGACAUUAUUUUAUAGUGUAUUGAUCAAAAUUGAAGGCUAUGGCUACAAUUAAAGUCUUGGAUAUGUUUUAAUCAAUUUAUUACAGACAUACAUGUGCAACAUUUUCAUCAUUGAGUUAUUUUAUUCUUUCAUCUUUUUGUCAUAUUUCAAUUUCUAGUGUUAAAUUUUCUACACUUAAAUUAUACACUUGUACUAUGAAAUGUAGAAUCUCAAGCUCUUAAGUUGCAAACGUUAUUUGAAUUAUUCCAGUGUAUAACUGUUUACAUGAAAUGACUAUUCAAGCUUUGAAGUUGCAAAGUUUAUUUGAAUUAUUCCAAUAUAUAUCUGCUUACAUGAAAUAACUAUCUAAACUGGUCGGCGUUUCACCGUUGUAGUAUAAACUGUUAUUCGACUUGUGAUUGGGUAUUCCUGGGAUGUGUUGGAUUCUAUUGUAUGUGAAGGAGCCUACUAGCUGGUGAGUGCAAAUCGCUGUAAAAAACUGUACCUAGUGUAUCUUCAAGGCUUUUUGCAGUAGUUUGUAUUACAUUCCACCUUUUCAAGCAUGGUGUGACUUGGAGUAACAUCUUAUUAAGUGAAUUAUGAAGAUCUGAUUGCUGCUAGAGGACCGAGCUUCCAGUAUUGGCUUGUACAACUUGUCCUACAGUUGUGUAGCAGCCUAGCAGGGAAGAAGACCGUUUGAUGCUUCUAUUGGAGAAUUUUUGUGGAGUUGAAAUAGCAUUAUUUUAUCGAGCUUCAUUUGUGAGGUGAUAAUUUUGUUAUUUGUUCGGGAUAACUCCAUUUUAUAUUUGGAGGACACCAGCUUGUUUAUAUUUAUCUUAAUUUGUUUGAAGGAAAUUUUAGGACGGGAGUGUAUGCUUUCAGUUUAACUAGUCUUUGGGCUAGUAUAAACUUUAAGCGCAUGCUCAUCUGUGUAGUAAAAAAUAGAGGAAGACCGGUGUGUCGUCACAGAUGAAUGUUGUGAGUUUCUUCAUUCAAUGGAGGAAAAAGGAUAAUGAAAGAAGAAAGAAGGGAAAGAUGAUGAAUUCUAAUUUAUGAAUUUGAAAUAUGGUUAGGACACUACCCUUAUAUUUUUAUUAUAAGGACUAAUUUGUUUCAUACAUUUUUCAACAUUACAAGUAGUCUAGACCUAUGCACAAUCAAAUUCAACAGAGUCGGUAUAGUAAAUCAUAAACAAAUGAGAUUUGGUUUACCAUUCUGAAGUAUUAAAAGUUGUUUUUUAAGAAUCAAAUAAGAGUCUGGUUUACUAUUCUGAUCUGAUUCAGGUACAAAAUUGUGUAAUAAGUUUAAAGUUUUUUUUUUUUUUGAAAAAUGUGGUAAAAUUUGUGCUUGUCAUAUACAUUCUUUGUAUAUUAAAAUUUUAACUUGAGUUUAAGGGAUAUGCAUCAACGGCGUAAAAUAAUUUUACAUCGUUAUCCAAUGGUAACAUAUCUUUUCAUUUAUGCAUAUUUUGUAACCGAUUUUAGAAAUAACCAACACAGUAGAUUUAGUUUACACCAACAUUGCAUGUUUUUCUUUUAAGUUUACAGUGCCCAUUUUUAAAUAAAUGAUACUUUUAUUUAGAAUAAAAAGGUGAAAGAGACCCUAUUUACAUUGUUGGGUACUGGUAUAGACAAUUUAAUGUCAUAUCAUAUUUUCAUAUUAAUUUAUACUUAAAAAGUUUAUGUUUCAAAUGAAUUUUGUCUUUGCGUACUGGUAUCUAACAAUCUAACAAUGUAAAUUGGGUUCUAAGAAUCUACUUAAAUGAAUAUGGAUCCAACAGUUCUGUAUAUAAACUUGGAGAGUUUUUCACUUAUAUUUUGGAAACGACAGCUGCCAAAUAUAUCCUUGUCCAGAUGAGUAAAUUUAGACAAAAUUGUGUUUUUACCGGAUGAGCAAACUUGGACGGGUGGUUUUUAAGAAUCACGAGUGGUAGGAAAAUAAAUUCUCAUGAAAUUAUAUAAACUUAAUGGUACUCAGCAAUGGCUCAACAAUGUUACCCAGAUAUGUUCUUUGAGAUUGUCUUAUUGCCUAUGAUGGAUCCAUAUGCUCAUAUUGGAAUGAGCCCCCAUACUACUAUAUGUAUGGGAGGUUGGUGGUUCGACUCCACCUGGAUCCGAGUUAUGUCAUGUAAAAGCAUAGUACUCAUCUUUAGUUCUCUUUGUCUGCAAAGUGAAGUUAUAAUAGUUGCAUGUAGUUCAUUGUAGAGGUCUGUAUAUGUGUUAGUGGUGUAUCAAUGAAGAGAGUUUAAAAACCAGUUAGUUUCACUAUGGGUGAUACUGUGAAAUCAUUUAGGCUUAGCCAUGGAUAUUGAUGUCAAGCUUAGAUGGAAAUGUUCUGUCAUAUCAUAUGUGUAAAUCAUUGGUUGGUAUGAAAUCAUAUUUUAUAUAGUGAAAUUAUGAUCAA